GCUCAGGAUGAACGCUGGCGGCGUGCUUAACACAUGCAAGUCGAACGGGAUCCCUGGCAGCUUGCUGCCGGGGUGAGAGUGGCGAACGGGUGAGUAAUGCGUGACCGACCUGCCCCAUGCACCGGAAUAGCUCCUGGAAACGGGUGGUAAUGCCGGAUGUUCCACAUGAGCGCAUGCGAGUGUGGGAAAGGCUUUUUGCGGCAUGGGAUGGGGUCGCGUCCUAUCAGCUUGUUGGUGGGGUAACGGCCUACCAAGGCGUUGACGGGUAGCCGGCCUGAGAGGGCGACCGGCCACAUUGGGACUGAGAUACGGCCCAGACUCCUACGGGAGGCAGCAGUGGGGAAUAUUGCACAAUGGGCGCAAGCCUGAUGCAGCGACGCCGCGUGCGGGAUGGAGGCCUUCGGGUUGUAAACCGCUUUUGUUCAAGGGCAAGGCACGGUCUUUGGCCGUGUUGAGUGGAUUGUUCGAAUAAGCACCGGCUAACUACGUGCCAGCAGCCGCGGUAAUACGUAGGGUGCAAGCGUUAUCCGGAUUUAUUGGGCGUAAAGGGCUCGUAGGCGGUUCGUCGCGUCCGGUGUGAAAGUCCAUCGCUUAACGGUGGAUCCGCGCCGGGUACGGGCGGGCUUGAGUGCGGUAGGGGAGACUGGAAUUCCCGGUGUAACGGUGGAAUGUGUAGAUAUCGGGAAGAACACCAAUGGCGAAGGCAGGUCUCUGGGCCGUUACUGACGCUGAGGAGCGAAAGCGUGGGGAGCGAACAGGAUUAGAUACCCUGGUAGUCCACGCCGUA
rnacentral:rRNA from 1 species